rnacentral:rRNA from 1 species
GACGAACGCUGGCGGCGUGCCUAAUACAUGCAAGUCGAGCGGACUUUCCGGAGUGCUUGCACUCCGGAAGGUUAGCGGCGGACGGGUGAGUAACACGUAGGCAACCUGCCCAUAAGACCGGGAUAACAUUCGGAAACGAAUGCUAAUACCGGAUAGACGGACCUCUCGCAUGAGGGGAUCGGGAAAGGCGGAGCAAUCUGCCGCUUAUGGAUGGGCCUGCGGCGCAUUAGCUGGUUGGUGGGGUAACGGCCUACCAAGGCGACGAUGCGUAGCCGACCUGGGGGGGGGCGCGCCAACACGGGGAAUGAAACCCGCCCAAAACUCCGGGGGGGGGCACAGGGAGGGAUUCUUCGGAAAGGGCCGGAAGUGGGAGGGAGAAGCGCGGGGGGGGGGAGGAGGGCCUUGGGGUGGAAAGCUUUGGUGGCAGGGGAAGAGGGGGGGGGGAAGAAACCCCCUUGGCAAGGAGGUACCGGGAAAGGAAGCCCCGGCCAAGCACGGGC